AUGAUAUACUAGCCAUUCCUGUAACAACUGUGGCGUCGGAAUCUGCCUUCAGUACUAGUGGGAGAAUACUAAGUGCACAUAGAUGUUCACUUGCACCAAACAUGACUGAAGCUCUUAUGUGUAUGCAAGCUUGGUCCCGUGCAGACAUGUUAGGGGAUUGCAAUUCUACUCUCUUUGCGGACUUUGAAACUGUUCUUAAGGAUGACACAGAAAUGAUGGAGGUUGAUGAUCAAUCCAUCCUAACUGAAGCCUGAAACAUGAUUGUAUGAUGUUG